rnacentral:rRNA from 1 species
GACGAACGCUGGCGGCGUGCCUAAUACAUGCAAGUUGAGCGAUGAAGAUUGGUGCUUGCACCAAUUUGAAGAGCAGCGAACGGGUGAGUAACGCGUGGGGAAUCUGCCUUUGAGCGGGGGACAACAUUUGGAAACGAAUGCUAAUACCGCAUAACAACUUUAAACAUAAGUUUUAAGUUUGAAAGAUGCAAUUGCAUCACUCAAAGAUGAUCCCGCGUUGUAUUAGCUAGUUGGUGAGGUAAAGGCUCACCAAGGCGAUGAUACAUAGCCGACCUGAGAGGGUGAUCGGCCGCAGUGGGACUGAGACACGGCCCAAACUCCUACGGGAGGCAGCAGUAGGGAAUCUUCGGCAAUGGACGAAAGUCUGACCGAGCAACGCCGCGGGAGUGAAGAAGGUUGUCGGAUCGUAAAACUCUGUUGGUAGAGAAGAACGUUGGUGAGAGUGGAAAGCUCAUCAAGUGACGGUAACUACCCAGAAAGGGACGGCUAACUACGUG